GAUGAACGCUAGCGGCAGGCUUAACACAUGCAAGUCGAGGGGCAGCACUUGUAGCAAUACAUGGUGGCGACCGGCGCAAGGGUGCGUAACGCGUGAGCAACAUGCCCGUAUCAGGGGGAUAAUCCAGGGAAACUUGGUCUAAUACCCCAUAGCAAUUAUUUGAGGCAUCUUAAAUAAUUUAAAGCUUUGGUGGAUACGGAUUGGCUCGCGUGACAUUAGCUAGAUGGUAAGGUAACGGCUUACCAUGGCUACGAUGUCUAGGGGUUCUGAGAGGAAGAUCCCCCACACUGGAACUGAGACACGGUCCAGACUCCUACGGGAGGCAGCAGUGAGGAAUAUUGGACAAUGGAUGGAAAUCUGAUCCAGCCAUGCCGCGUGCAGGAAGACGGCCCUAUGGGUUGUAAACUGCUUUUGUGUGGGAGCAAUAAGGUCUAUGCGUAGACUGAUGAGAGUACCAUACGAAUAAGCAUCGGCUAACU
rnacentral:rRNA from 1 species